rnacentral:rRNA from 1 species
UACGGAGGGUGCGAGCGUUGUCCGGAAUUACUGGGCGUAAAGCGCACGUAGGCGGCUUUCUAAGUCGGGGGUGAAAUCCUGGAGCUCAACUCCAGAACUGCCUUCGAUACUGGAAAGCUCGAGUCCGGGAGAGGUGAGUGGAACUGCGAGUGUAGAGGUGAAAUUCGUAGAUAUUCGCAAGAACACCAGUGGCGAAGGCGGCUCACUGGCCCGGUACUGACGCUGAGGUGCGAAAGCGUGGGGAGCAAACAGG